UACGGGGGGAGCAAGCGUUGUUCGGAUUUACUGGGCGUAAAGGGCGCGUAGGCGGUCGUGACAAGUCACUUGUGAAAUCUCCGGGCUUAACUCGGAACGGUCAAGUGAUACUGUCGGACUAGAGUACAGAAGGGGCAACUGGAAUUCUCGGGUGUAGCGGUGAAAUGCGUAGAUAUCAGGAAGAACACCAAUGGCGAAGGCAGCUCUCUGGGACGGUACUGACGCUGAGACGCAAAAGCGUGGGGAGCGAACAGG
rnacentral:rRNA from 1 species